GGGGAUUUAGCUUAGCGGCAUAAGCGCCUGCCUUGUAAGCAGGCAGUCGUGAGCCUUGUAAGCAGGCAGUCUUGAGUUCGAUCCCCA
rnacentral:tRNA from 1 species